UACGAGGGGUGCUAGCGUUGUUCGGAAUAACUGGGCGUAAAGGGAGCGUAGGCGGUUUGGUACGUUUGGUGUGAAAGUCCUGGGCUUAACCCGGGGACUGCAUUGAAAACGGCUAGACUUGAGGCAUAGAGGGGAAGAUGGAAUUGCGUGUGUAGAGGUGAAAUUCGUAGAUAUACGCAAGAACACCAGUGGCGAAGGCGAUCUUCUGGCUAUGACCUGACGCUAAGGCUCGAAAGCGUGGGGAGCAAACAGG
rnacentral:rRNA from 1 species